GCUCCAGGUGGGCUGUGGAGCCCUGGGCUGCUGCUGAUUUGCUCCCUGCUGCCUCAGCCCAUUGAUGUUCGUGGGUUCAAGGUUGUAAUCCUUGGCAUUGGCUGAGGCACCAGGCUGCCAAGUGCUGUGUGGGAUUGCAGGGCUCUGGUUCAUCUCAGGGGGGUCUUGAUUGCUCAUCUCUCCCAGGCUGGGGUGUCACAAGAGAUGACAACACAAACAAGUGUUGCUGCAGGACACCCAGGCCCUAAGGACUGAUUGCAAACUCUCCUAAACCUGUCAACGAGUGGUUGUUCCUGAAUCGGGAAUGUUUAGAUCCUUUUCUACAUCCUCGUUAAUAAAAGAUCAGACCAUUAACAUUGGGGAUUAGCCUUUUAUGCAUCCAUCAAACCCUUGGCCUUUGAGAACUUCACUCAACCCAUCAAGACAUCAUAUUUUCCAUAACAGUCCCUGACAAAUGUUUAUUUUCUACCCUUUUAGAUCUGUCCACUUCAAUAUAUUGAACACUUCUGCAGAUCAGAAGCUUAAGGAGUUGAGUAUCUCUUACUCAUCCCCACCCACCUUGUGCUUCAUCUUUUCAUAGGGGAAUUAAUUCACUGUGGGUUUUACUAUCUACUAAUCUAUAAUUUAGACACAAACAACACCUUCCUAUUUAUCUCACUUCUCAGAUUUUUGUAGAAGUUUUUGUUUCUUCCAAUCCCUCAGACAUCUCUCAGAACAUGUCUUGUGUGAUUGAUCUGGGUUGCAGGUUCUUUUCCUGGGAUAGGGGGAAAACACCAUCAAACAGCGCAUUCUUAAGAGUUAUGGAUGUCUUUAUAACCUUUCAUCUUUUGUUUUCCUCUCACUAAUGGUCAAAGCAGGAACAAGAACCUUUGGGUUUAUUGCCAGGAUGCGGUGAAUAUCAGGAUACAAAAGGCUUUAUGAGAAAUUCCCAUCAUCACUACAAAUGUAGAGCACACCUCUCUUAUCUGCUCUUGUGCACAGAAUAAAAGAGAAUGGUCCAAUCUAUCAUUGAAAGGUGGAAAUCUGUCUAAAGGAAACCACCCAGCCUGAGUGGUGAAACCUGUUGUGGACAGCCAGGAGCUGUAUCUGCACAAGAGAUUCUGGAGAUGUCAACGAGCAAAGGACAGAGGCAACAAGUGACAUGAGAGGCACAGCUCUCAGAAAGGAUUUUUUUGUGGGGUUUAUUCUGCUAUUAUUUGAGGGUGGCAAUAGAGGGGAUAUCCCAGAAAAGGGUUUUUACAGAGCCCCUCUGAGCAUGGACACACCAUCAAACUCCAGCCUAGCCUUAGCAUCAUGACUAAAGCAUUAUUUGCUGCAGGACAUGUGGGGAUUUAUCUUCUUCUACAAAGACUGCAUUGAACAUGUAAGAAAAAUAGUUAUAAGCCAUCAGCACAGCAUAGAAAACAAAAGUGGCCAUGGACAUCAAAACUUCCCUGUGCCAGAGCCCAGCUCUGAGGUAAGGCUUGGUGGGACAGAGGCCAGUUCUGAGGUCAGGCUUGGCACUGGCUGGGCAGGUGACACGUAAAUUCCACGUUUACUUUGCUUUAGCCUUGACUCUGCCUGGACUGCAGAGCGCUGUGUUUGUGUUUGCAGUGAAAUAUGCCGGUUUUCCAAGCAGCAGGGCCGUGAUCCCGGGGCAGGUGUGACAUUGGCGUCAGGGCUGCACUGCAACAGUGCCACACCGUGUGGGGACACUGCUCCAUGACGUGACAGCUCGCUGACAGACGGAAUUUCAGCCCAGAUACGCGGCUUUCACCUGUCCCAGAAUAAUGUUAUCUCUGUGAAUGCAUGCUGGGAGCAGGAAUGAUGAAAUGUUCACAUUUCCUUCUCUCUGAAAGUCACAUUUCCCAUGUUCCUUUCCCUGCUGCAUGGGCCUUAUAAUGAUGACAUGAAAGCUGUGGUGGAGUUUGCACUUUGAUGGACAAAUAAAGAAUUAUUGUGGAGUCAUAGUUGGAAUUAAGCCUGUCCUCUCUUUAUUGCAGGCAAGAACUCCUUGAAAAUAGUUUCAAACUGUGGUUUAUGUUGUAUAAAAAUGAAAAAUUAGAAGGGAAGAAUUGCAAAAAGUCAUCAGUAUCAGAGCAAAAAGAAUGGAAGUUGUGUAAAACCCUCCUAUGGACAAAUCUCAACUGCAGUCAGGGAAACUGCUGCUCAGAGCAAAGGAUUUGGAGAAAAUAGUUCUUGAAAGUUUUUUCAGGACCUUUUCCUCCUACAGCUUCUAAGAACAUUCCCAGGAGUGUUUCCAUGGUUUUUGUUAAACCUCCUGGGUUUUCUAUUUCAUUUGAGAUUUUUCUUUAACCUCCUGCUCAGCUUGUAGAGGCAGUGGCACAAAGCUGCCUGCAAGUCAAGAGAUGAGACGCUCGCAGCUCCACACGAUUAUCUGCACAGCAGUGCCUCACAGCGAACUCAUUUAAGCACCUCGUGAAAAGCAGGUGAAAAAGGGCACAAGGAACCUGUUGGAUGUUGACAUCCACCUCCCAACUCUCCAAUCCCCUCUCGCCUGUCCUGCCAAAAUGCUGCUGCUCCCCCCGUGCCCGAUUGCAUCAUUCAUUCACGCCGCUGUUAUAAAACAGGCACCACGCCGGUGCCGGGCAGCACAGGCACAAGAUCCUCCUCAUUUUCCCUGCUGGAAAAACCCCCCGGUGUCACGGAUCUGCGAGCCAAACGCCAGCUCCUUCCGACCUGCGAGAAAAUCCCGGUGCCGGUGACUUACAGGACUGAAGCGGCCGCGGCUGCUGCUGCCGCCGGGAGCCUCCCGGCUGCGCCAGACAGGGAGGGAUCAGCCGAGCCCUUCAGCGACACAAACCCUACGCACGGGCUGAGCUGGACAAGAGCCGCAUUUUGCCUCUCCGGCCCUGAUAAAGCGCUGAGUCAGGCAGGCCGGGGGGUUUGUUUGAGGCUCCGGCACACAUGGAGCGGAGCAGGGCAGCGGAGGCAGCAGAGGUGUGACCUCCGCAGGGGAGGAGCCGCUCCGGGCGGCGCGGGGAGCUCGCUCUGCCCUCCCUGGGCACCGGGAGCUCGGGGAAGGCUCCGAUGAGCAGCAAUCAUCGGCAGCUUCUCCUGGCAGAAAUCAGAGGCGAGACAGGGACGCUGUUUUCGGGAGAGAAGAGAGGAUUUGUGAGCUCAGAUGUGGGAAGAGACCUUUAAGAUCUUGGAGUCCAGCCCGUGUCCUAACACCACCUCAACUAAACCAUGGCACCGAGUGCCACAUCCAGUUUUUUUUAAAAAACAUCCAGGUGUUUUUUUUAAACAUAUCCAGCACUUUAUUGCUCUUUUAAUAAAAAACUUUUCCCUAACAUCCAUCCUCGAUUUUCCUUGGCACAAUGUGAGACUGUGUCCUCUCGUUCUGUCAGCUGCUGCCUGGAAAAAGAGACCAAGCCCACCUGACUACAGGUAUUUAAGAUUGCAAUAUCUCCUCUUGGCUUAAGCUGUCAGUGCAUCCCUGAGCGAAGUUACACACACAAAUCACAUCCAAACCUGGCAAAAGCUCGGCAGCAAAGGGAAAAGACAUGGGAAAAAGCUCUGUGUUGCUUCCCCAAAUGCAGUGUUGUCAAAAGCUGUGGAAAAAUUGCCAAAGCUGCCCGUGCUUGUGUUUUGGCAUCCCACAGAAGAGCUUCCCUCGCACACUGCCGUGGGUUGGAAAAUGGAAGAGUGCCAGCCCAGGAGUUGUUUGGUUCAAGGUCAAGAAAAGCUGAUUUAGCUGAU